UAUAUUUUUACUCUAUUAUUGCUUUCAACCUUGCUUUUUCUUUACUAAAUACCGAAUUAAGAGAGCGUCCCGACACAUAAGCUACGACGCCUCUUAACUCACCCCCAUUUUGCAGUUUCUAGUUACACACCACAGAAUCCAGCUAGAUGGUCACAGAGCACAGUCCGCCAACUACAAAAACCGAUCUCCCUCCAUUUUCCAAGCCUAAAAAAAUUGACGUCAACGUGGAAUUUGAAGAAAAAUUGAAGAGACAUAUCAUGGUAUGUGAAGAAAAAAGUAGUACCUCUUGAUUACUUCUGCCAUUGAUGAUGUUAAGUAGAAAGGCCCCUAUCUAGUCUGAAGUUUGAAAAUGAUGAUCUAAUAAAUUAAAGAAGAUAAUAAUCUUUUCAUAGGCUUUUAGAGAUACAUAUAUAGGCAAUCCUUAAAUAUCAUAAAUAAUAAGCUAGAAAAUGGUCCCUACCCUUCAAACCAGUUUGUGGUACCUAAUAAUCCAAAUUCAGUCAACAAGACGCUUCAAAUCAACCAAAUUUGGCACCAAAUUUAGACAGCUCAGUUAAGCCUUUAUGAACCACAGAAGUGCAAACAAUCUGUAAUAAUUGAGUAAAUUUGUAUUAUUUACUUUCUGAGUUUUAUUAUUUAUAUUUUUUAAAAGAUUUAUCACUACAAAUUUAACUUUAAAAAAAAAACACUAAAAAUUGGAAUUUUAUGGGAAAUAUUUAAGGCAAUAUUCGUGAUAGUCUUAUGCACCAUUAUUUAAUUAUACAAUAACAUAUUAUUAUCGAUGUAAAACAAAAAAAAUUGAAGAGUUUAAAAAUAAAUAUGAAUAAUUUUAUUUUAAAAAAAUAUUAAUUAUAAUUAUUAAAUAUAAAUAAAUAUAAAAAUAUCCAAAAUUCGAAACUCAAAUCUAAAAACAUCAAAUAUUAAUUAUAAUUAUUGAAUAAUUCUAUUUUAAAAUAAACAAAAUUUUUAAUUAAUAAUUAUAAUUAUUUUUGAAUGUAUACGAUUUCUUUUUUAUUUUAACCAAUAAUUUUAAAUUAAAUAAUGUGUGGGCAAAAAUGUCAGUUUCGAGCAGCGGGAAAGGACCUGCAGAAAUUUCUCUUUUGUUCAUAAAAAUCAACUCCCAUUAAAAGCAACCAUCUUUGAGGUAAAACUAAGUUUUUUGAUGGAUAAACUAAAACUAAUAUUGCCAUAUAUAUAUGUUUAGGUUCAAAAGUUGGGCAAUUCCCAUAUAUUACAACUUAUAACAGAAAAUUUCAGAUAUAAAGUGGAAUUUACAGAACAAAUUUGCAUUUCGCAACCAAAUUUGUUGUCCAUUUUCAUCUUACUGUUGCAUUGCAUCUAAGUUGAGAUUGCAUUGUUGCCGUCGUCGUGGUGUCGCAUCAAGGUUCCGGAGUUGCAGGCUCACUCUUCACAAAAAAGAGACCAGAAGGGCCACCUUUAGGCAAGAGUGCCAACUUAACAGGAGUCACAGCACCUUCUUCAGCAGUUAUUGUACCAGUGUUGAGGUUUAUAUCAGUUUUGGCAUAUCCAGGGCAAACAGAGUUGAUGCAGAAAUCUGGGUACUUGUUUGCCAGAAUCCUUGUAUAGGCAUUCAAUGCUACUUUAGAGACAGUAUAGGCAGAGAUGAAGGUUGGCCAUCCUUUACUUCCGUGUAAACCCUCCUUAAAAUCUUUUAGAUACUCAGUUAUUAAGUCAUUCAGUUUCUCCUCUGUUGUAACACCUGUUAACACUCCUUUAAGCUUUUCACCUUUACCCUGUAACAAAGAAACUUUUCCAUCAACCAUUUUUAAAGCUUAUGAUCUGAAAUGGGAUUUUACAGGAACUCGGGAUUCUACCUUCAGCAUGACUACAGAGGAGGAAACGUUUACGAUCCUUGGCAAGUCGGAUAGUUGCAGCAAUGGAAUAAGUGCUUCGGCAGUUCUUUUAGCGCCGUAGUAGUUUGUUUUUAGGCAUUCUUCGGCUAACUCGU
rnacentral:lncRNA from 1 species